rnacentral:rRNA from 1 species
UACAGAGGUCCCAAGCGUUGUUCGGAAUUACUGGGUGUAAAGGGUUCGUAGGCGGUGUGGCAAGUCGGGAGUGAAAUCUCUGGGCUCAACCCAGAGUCUGCUUCCGAAACUGCUGUGCUUGAGUGUGGGAGAGGCGCGUGGAAUUGCAGGUGUAGCGGUGAAAUGCGUAGAUAUCUGCAGGAACACCCGUGGCGAAAGCGGCGCGCUGGACCACUACUGACGCUGAGGAACGAAAGCGUGGGUAGCGAACAGG